UACGAGGGGGGCGAGCGUUGUUCGGAAUUAUUGGGCGUAAAGGGUGCGUAGGCGGUUUGAUAAGUCUGAUGUGAAAUCUAUGGGCUCAACCCAUAGUCUGCAUUAGAAACUGUCGGGCUUGAGUAUGGGAGAGGUGAGUGGAAUUUCCGGUGUAGCGGUGAAAUGCGUAGAUAUCAGGAGGAACACCCAUGGCGAAGGCAGCAAACUGGGCAUCAUCUGACGCUGAGGCGCGAAAGCGUGGGUAGCAAACAGG
rnacentral:rRNA from 1 species